GUUAUCACAAUACACUAAAUAAAACUACACUACAUAUACAGUCUAAACUAGUCGGGUGUCCAAAGUCGACUCUGAACUUGAUGCGACGUUUGUGGAGCCACGUCAUAGUCAGUCCUCGUCGGUCUACAAUGUAGUGUAUUAUCAUCGGUAUCGUGGAAGGGACGAAUUGUCAGGAAUAAAAGCUGCAGGUGCUUUUCAAGACGGUUAAGAGAAAAUAAAUGCUAAGUAUCUUCUCUCGAUCUACCACAUCACGAGCCACUGCGCUGGUAAUUUAAAUUCAAUUAAAAAGAAGAGAUAAAUAAAAAUAAAAAUAAAAUAAAAAGAAUAAUAAAAUGAAAAUUAAAUGGAAAUAAUCUGGACAGUUUAACAGAUGGAAAAUUUAACGACGGCUGCACAAUUAACUUUUAUAAUAAUAUGAGUAGGAUAAAAUAAUAAAGUGUCCAUUGUUUUUAAAAUACAAUACAGCUGUAAAUUUUAAUUGUAACAAUGUAAUGUGUGUAAUUAAAAUUUUGAAUAAUCAAAUACUCAUUUAAACGUCAAAUGCAUUUUUUAAUGCAUAUUCAC